GACGAACGCUGGCGGCGUGCUUAACACAUGCAAGUCGAACGCUGAAGCUUGGUGCUUGCACUGGGUGGAUGAGUGGCGAACGGGUGAGUAAUACGUGAGUAACCUGCCCUUGACUCUGGGAUAAGCCUGGGAUACUGGGUCUAAUACUGGAUACGACAUGCCACUGCAUGGUGGUGUGUGGAAAGGGUUUUACUGGUUUUGGAUGGGCUCACGGCCUAUCAGCUUGUUGGUGGGGUAAUGGCCUACCAAGGCGACGACGGGUAGCCGGCCUGAGAGGGUGACCGGCCACACUGGGACUGAGACACGGCCCAGACUCCUACGGGAGGCAGCAGUGGGGAAUAUUGCACAAUGGGCGGAAGCCUGAUGCAGCGACGCCGCGUGAGGGAUGACGGCCUUCGGGUUGUAAACCUCUUUCAGCACGGAAGAAGCGAGAGUGACGGUACGUGCAGAAGAAGCGCCGGCUAACUACGUG
rnacentral:rRNA from 1 species